rnacentral:tRNA from 1 species
GCUUUAAUAAUUUAAUAAAAAUAUUGGUCUUGUAAGCCAAAAAUAAGAUUACCUUUUAAAGCU